AUGGAGGGGGGAGGGGGAGCUGCUGGCUGGAGCCCAUACCGGAGUGGAGUUGGUUGCUCCGCGGGACUGCAGCUCGUGGCGGCGGUGCUUGCUAAGUCUGGGCUGGCUGAGGCGAUGGCCAGCGUGACUGAAGGCACGCUGCUGGGCCAAGGCGCUGCAGCGGCCCAUGGCGAGCUCGCAUGCGAGGUUGGAGAUGACGAGGCAGGCACUGCUCUCGAGCAGCAGGGCGCCGGCGACGACGAACCUCGUCGGAUCUCGCCGGAUCUGGGCGAGGCGGCUCGUGUGGGGGCAGAUCGAGGCACGGGGAGGUGA
rnacentral:rRNA from 1 species